GUACUUACUCCUACGGGAGGCAGCAGUGGGGAAUCUUCCGCAAUGGGCGAAAGCCUGACGGAGCAACGCCGCGUGAGUGAAGAAGGGCUUCGGAUCGUAAAACUCUGUUAUUAGGGAAGAACAAAUGUGUAAGUAACUAUGCACGUCUUGACGGUACCUAAUCAGAAAGCCACGGCUAACUACGUGCCAGCAGCCGCGGUAAUACGUAGGUGGCAAGCGUUAUCCGGAAUUAUUGGGCGUAAAGCGCGCGUAGGCGGUUUUAUAAGUCUGAUGUGAAAGCCCACGGCUCAACCGUGGAGGGUCAUUGGAAACUGGAAAACUUGAGUGCAGAAGAGGAAAGUAGAAUUCCAUGUGUAGCGGUGAAAUGCGCAGAGAUAUGGAGGAACACCAGUGGCGAAGGCGACUUUCUGGUCUGUAACUGACGCUGAUGUGCGAAAGCGUGGGGAUCAAACAGGAUUAGAAACCCCAGUAGUCCAGGCAU
rnacentral:rRNA from 1 species